UACGGAAGGCAGCAGUGGGGAAUAUUGCACAAUGGGCGCAAGCCUGAUGCAGCCAUGCCGCGUGUAUGAAAAAGGCCUUCGGGUUGUAAAGUACUUUCAGUCGUGAGGAAGGUGUUAAGGUUAAUAACCUUAGCAAUUGACGUUAGCGACAGAAGAAGCACCGGCUAACUCCGUGCCAGCAGCCGCGGUAAUACGGAGGGUGCGAGCGUUAAUCGGAAUUACUGGGCGUAAAGGGCACGCAGGCGGUUAAUUAAGUUGGAUGUGAAAUCCCCGGGCUUAACCUGGGAAUGGCAUUCAAGACUGGUUAGCUAGAGUCUUGUAGAGGGGGUAGAAUUCCAUGUGUAGCGGUGAAAUGCGUAGAGAUGUGGAGGAAUACCGGUGGCGAAGGCGGCCCCUGGGACAAAGGCUGACGCUCAUGUGCGAAAGCGUGGGGAGCGAAAC
rnacentral:rRNA from 1 species